rnacentral:misc_RNA from 1 species
GUUGGUGAACCAGCGGAGGGAUCAUUACAGAGUAUAAAAACUCCCAAACCCAUGUGAAUAUACCUAUUGUUGCUUCGGCAGGUCGCAUCUAUCUGGUAACCUCCGAUCCCGGGGGCUCCUACCCUGUAGGUGCGGGUAAGCCUGCCGAUGGCCCCGAAAACACUGUUUGCAAUUGAAACUCUGAAUUUAUAACUAAAUAGUUAAAACUUUCAACAACGGAUCUCUUGGUUCUGGCAUCGAUGAAGAACGC